rnacentral:tRNA from 1 species
GGCGGUGUAGCUCAGAGGUCAGAGCACUCGGUUCAUACCCGGGGUGUCAGUGGUUCAAAUCCACUCACCGCUACCA